GCCUGGGUGGCUCAGUCGGUUGAGCGUCUGACUUAGGCUCAGGUCAUGAUCUCAGAGCUCGUGAGUUCGAGCCCCGCCUCUGGCU
rnacentral:tRNA from 1 species